UAGGCGAACGUUAAACCGGUCUGAGCCUCUUGUCUCUCCUCUCCUCUGUUGUGUUGUGUGUCUGUCUUUCUCAUCAUAAUGCAUACAUAAGCCUAACCUUCUCUUCUCUGCAAAACCAAAACUCCAUUCUCUUCUCUCAAUUUCAAUCCAUCUUCAAUUCUUCUUCUUCUUCUUCUUCUUCUUCCUCAGAAUCACUCAAACAAGGAAUCACAAUUCACAAUUCACUGUUUCCCUUCUUCUUCUUCCCACCCACACACUGUUGUUGUUAUUGUUGUUGUUGUUGUUGAAUUCUCCUAUGGCUAUGACCCCUGAACGAUCCAAGCCACCACUACACAACUUCUCCUUACCCUGCUUGAAAUGGGGCACGCAACGCUUACUCCGCUGUGUCAACGCCGACCCACCUUCUUCCUCCUCCCCUGAUCGCCGAUCCGACCCUGCUCCUCGACUUCCCUCCCGCAAAACCGACGACACCACCGUCGACGCCGUCAGGGAAAAGAUCAUGGGGGAUCUCAGAGUGGCGGCCAAGAAGCUCAAGGUUUCCAUUUUUGAGGAUGAUGGUGUUGGUGGUGGUGGUACUGCUGCUGCCAAUGCCGCUGCUGCUAGGCCGUGGAAUUUGAGGACCAGACGAGCUGCGUGUAAGGCGCCGGUCACUGGACCACCGCCGCGUGAUGAGGAGCGUAGGUUUUUUGAGGUGGGGUGUUCUUCUCCGUCGCCGGCGAAGGAUAAGGAUAAGGAUAAGGAUAAGAAUAAGAAGAAGAUGGUGAUGGAUGAGAAGAUCAAGUUCUCUGUUUCUCUUUCUAAGGAGGAGGUGGAACAGGAUUUCUGGGCUUUGGCUGGGACUAGGCCUCCUAGAAGGCCUAAGAAGAGGCCUAGGAAUGUGCAGAAGCAAUUGACUACACUCUAUCCUGGGUUGUGGCUAUCAGAGAUCACUGCAGAUUCAUACAAAGUGGCUGAUGUUCCUGAAUGAGAGGAUGAAGGAAUGGCAAAACUUGAUUCUGGAUGUCCCCAAUAUUUUUACUUGCUGACUUCCUGCAACAUUGUCACAUAAAUAAUGUAAAUCUUUUGGUGUUCUGCAAAAUUCGGAAGCAUCAAGUUGUAGUUCAUCCAUUGCAGAACAAAUCCGAUAUUUAUUUUAGAUGAAUCGCGAAUAAUGUUAGUGAUAAGGCUUUAUGUGAAUCUUAUUAGAAAUCAUUUAACCACCUGUAAGUAUAGAGAAAAUUUGGCAUGUAUAGAUUUCCUAAGCAUUUAUCAGUUACUGUUACAAAAAUGCAUAUAAAUGCAAUGUUAUGUCUUCUAGUGUAAGCAUGAUGAAAGGUGAGCCUUUUUCCUUUGUACUUGAAGAAAUCAAGGGGGAAAAAAGGGAAAAUACAAUGGUUUGGUUGACUUUGUCAGUUGCACUAAAUGCCAAUUGCCAAGUGAAAGAUUUAUGAAGUUUCACACCAAACUUCUCCACUUGUGUUAUUAAAUUUCCCAUUCUAUCCACGUACACUUGCACAUAAGGUUGUAGCUAUAUAAGCAAGCCUAAAUGUAGCCUUAGAAC